rnacentral:rRNA from 1 species
AGUGAACGCUGGCGGUAGGCCUAACACAUGCAAGUCGAACGGCAGCACAGUAAGAGCUUGCUCUUACGGGUGGCGAGUGGCGGACGGGUGAGGAAUACAUCGGAAUCUACUUUUUCGUGGGGGAUAACGUAGGGAAACUUACGCUAAUACCGCAUACGACCUACGGGUGAAAGCAGGGGAUCUUCGGACCUUGCGCGAUUGAAUGAGCCGAUGUCGGAUUAGCUAGUUGGCGGGGUAAAGGCCCACCAAGGCGACGAUCCGUAGCUGGUCUGAGAGGAUGAUCAGCCACACUGGAACUGAGACACGGUCCAGACUCCUACGGGAGGCAGCAGUGGGGAAUAUUGGUCAAUGGGCGCAAGCCUGAUCCAGCCAUACCGCGUGGGUGAAGAAGGCCUUCGGGUUGUAAAGCCCUUUUGUUGGGAAAGAAAAGCAGCAGGUUAAUACCCCGCUGUUCUGACGGUACCCAAAGAAUAAGCACCGGCUACCUUCGU